AAUUAGUAGUAGCAGAAUUUGCUAGAAAAAAAAAUAAAAGAUUGUAAAAGAAACAACCUGGAACACCCACAUUUCUGUUUAUUCAAAGGGCAGCUCUGUGUUUUUACAGUCAAGUCAUUAACCAUUUCACACAAUAGCCCGGGGAGUCACAUUCCUACUUUGUCUUACAGGAAACCAACACAGCAGUGGCUGAGUCUGCUUGGAGGUAGGGUGGCAGGAGGGAAGCCAGGAGGGGAAGUUACAUUGCUGGGGUGCAUGUCUAACACACAUUCUUAUUUUAAUCUUGUAACGGUGCCACUUGACAGAUAGGGAAACUGAGGUUCAGAGAAGGGUGGGCACUUGGCCAAGGCCACAGAGUGGAAAGCCACAGGUCCCUCUUACCAUGCUGCCCCUCUGGAGAGGAACAGCAGGGAAUUUGUGGUGCUGAGCCCUUGGUGGGGGAGGAAGCUAAGUGUUCUCUGAGCACAGUGUGCUUCUAACUGGUUCUCCUUUCUCUGUUCUCCUUUCAGCCGUCCUUAAUCACUCAAGGCCGUGUGGAGAGAAUCAGCAGCUGUGUGGAGAGCCUUCUGCCAGCCCCAGAGCUUUAGGGGAAGUUCAGUUUCUCUGAUAGGGAAGAUGAAUGGUCCCGAAAGCAUAAGCAGGCACAGCUUCCCCACACUGUUUGACAUGAGCAGCGAGGGUUUUGCUGACAGACCCCGAGGCUAGGGAGAAGUGAUCUACCCAGGAUCCCACAGCGAAUUAUGGUGGAGUCCAGCUCCAGCACUGGGCUUCUCGCCACCUUUGCACCAAUCAGCACGUGCCAUGAAGUCGCAGAUGGCUAGAGAUGACAUUCAGGGGACUGGUGGGUGUUGGCAUCUCAGCAUCAUCCUCAUUUAUUAGGAGCCUUGGAGCCACAUUCUUCUUGGGAGUUGAUUAUAUGUUUCCAAAACUGAAUUAACUCUUUGAAGUUUGAGAUCUUGAAUAAAAGCCUCAUGUCUCACGCCAACUUUGCUAUGGAUUCUGCAGGACGGAUAGGUGGAAACAGUUAACCGAAAGUUCCUUAGAGCAAGGCUUACUAACUCCAUCUUUAUCUGUUGCAGGAGCUAAGGAAACUUCCUGCAGUGCCAUACCCAAGGAGUGCCGUGCCUAGGGAGGAUCCAGUGCGGGUUGCAAGGUGCACACUCUUCAGAGCAUCAACACAGUCCCCUGACUCUAGUUGUCUUUAUCACUGUGGCUCUUCCCCUUGAAGGCCACUCCCAUCCAUCUAUCUGACUUGUUUUGCCCUGAACCUUCGGGGCCAGCAAACACUGAGACAAAAACACUGUGAGGCCAAGUGAGAGACGGCCAAAUCUGAGUUCCCUUGUAGUCUCCCGGAUGCCUGGACUCAGGUCCAGCUCAGCAGCUCUCAAUGCCUUUCAGCUCAGUUCCUGGGGUCCCCAAGGGAUUUUCCAGCCUCAGCCUUGUCUUCCCCACAACCUUGCCUUGAGUUUGGAGUAGAACCUGCCCCCAGCACAUACAUUCCCAGUGGUCCCUCCCCGACCAGCUCCUGAGUGGCCCUUGCUUUCUCACCGUUGGGUCCCUGCACCUUAUUCUCUUCCCUAGAGCCACACACUCCUUCCUGUUGGCUCAAGUGGGGUCAGGAAAAGUCUUGCAGUUGAUGACCUGCAAACCUGACACUUGGGCAGGUGGUCAUGGGGUUCCCCAGGAGUCGAGCCAAGGAAGUCCAACCCUGGUGUGCUUAUCUACAUCCUGUACAUGGGGGACACCAUCAAGAAGGCCAAAGUCUGGGAGAGUGACAUGAAGGGAAGUGGUGAAUGACAAACAGAAACUGAAGGCCAGCUGGACAACUGAGAAGAUGUGGCUCUCAAGCAUUUCAGAUGGGCACAUGGGGGAGGGGCAACCUCAGGGCCCCAGUCCUGACUCAAGCCCGUCCUUUGGACUGUGAUGACCAUGCACCCUGAGCACUACCACACCUUUAUGCUCCUCUCCUCCCACCCAGCCCCCUGCUGAACCUGUCUGCUUUCUGUGCCCUGCUAGCUAUUUCCCCACAUGCCCAGACUUUGCCCCCAGGAGUGCCAAGCACAGGUUGCCAGGUCUAUCUCAGAUGUAUUAUCUGUCCCCAGGCUGGGGUAGGAAAUGCCCUGCUAAGACCAAAAGCAGGUCCUCCAGACUCUAGCAGAGGCCCCAGUGUGACCCGUGACUUUGUUAAAAACCCUCUUGGAGCUUAGCCAUCUUUGGCCAUUCUCUGAACCCGGCUGGGAUUCACACACUCAAGUCCCUAUUUGGUUUUGGUCAAGGUCUCAGUUCCCUCGGCACUAUAUCUAACCCUGCUCUGCUCUGCUCUGCCCUGAGCGUGCUCUCUCUCCCCUCAGGGAUGUAAUUUUCAAGUUCUUCCUAGGAUUUUUUGCCAUCAACCUGGCCAUCCCUGUCCUUUCUUCAUGGCCUCUCAGGACUAAAGCUGCAGAGAUAAAAUCCUGAGGACCAUGAGAGUAGAGCCUCGACCAUCUUGUUUAUCACUCUAGCCUCAUUAUCAGCAUGUAAUAGGUGCCCAAUAAAUAGCUCUACAGGGGCCUUGGCUCCCCUUAAGGAGGUAGAUGGUCUCGGUGUCAGGGCCUUGACCCCUCUUCACCCCAUACUGAUCCGAUGCACCCUUGUGUGGAGUGCCAGGAUCCCAUUCAAUGCCAGGUGUGUCUCAGGGCACCAAGGAUGGGGCUGAUAUAUCAGAACCCUGCAUCCUUCUCCUUCUGACUCCCCAGUUUCCUUUUGUGUCCUUCUUGUUCCUAUCUUUGUUUAUAUCCCAGUGGCCAUGAGAGCUCUCCUGGGAAGACCAUUCUGCUAAAUUACAAAUCGAAUCAUGUUCUGCUAAACCACAAGUGCAUCGAAUUGGGGGAAACAAUUGCCAUGGCAACAUGCCACACCUUGUGCAGGUUCUUCAUUUGGGGAGUGGUCACUCAGUUGAGCAGCAAGGUGGUCAUUCUGGGCACAUGGUUUCAAUUAAAAUUCAUUAAGAGAAUUUCCCUGGUAACCCAGCCAAGUGAUGAUUUGGCACCUGGUACCUUCUUGGUGAACUAUCUAGAAAGAGACUUUCCCAACACAUGGGGACUCAGUUCAGUCAGAAAUACCUAGAAAUGUGGGUGGGAUAUGCUCCCAAACUCUGGGUCUUCAGAGACACCAGACCAACCUGGACAGCAGAACAAGGUCUGUGGUGUCCACAAAGGUCAGCAGUGUCCACUAAUGACCUAGAAAGGAAGAGCAGAGAGUCUGUCAUGAACACCCUCCAGCCCUAUACUGCAGUGUAGCCCUUCUCAAAGUCAGGGUGAGCUUACUGAGAUAAUGGACUUAAGUAAGUCCCAGAGAAGAGGGUGGCUGUCACUGGAAGAGUCUUCUUGCUUCUUGAGAACAAUCUAAAAUUCACUUACAGGUGAUUUCUGCAAACCCGAUUAUUUUGUGGAUGUCUACAAGAGAGUGUGACUUCAAGGAAUACUGAGGACACUUGUCUAUCAGGUGACUUCCUUUGUCAUACAAGCAAUAAACCCAACAGCUAUAUUCAUUUUGCAGAUGAAUUUUUUUAUUUGCUCUAAUUAGCUAUACAUGACAGUAGAAUGCAUUUUGAUUCAUUGUAUACAAAUGGAACAUAACUUCAUUUUUCUGGUUGUACACAAUGCAGAGUCACACCAUUCGUGCAAUCAUACACAUACACAGAGUAAUAAUGUCUGUCUCAUCCCACCAUCAUUUCCCCCCAUACUCCCUCCCCUACACUUACUCCCAUCUGCCCAAUCCAAAGUUUCUCCAUUCUUCCCUUGGCCCACCCGCCCCCAAUUAUGGAUCAGCAUCCGUUUAUCAGAGAAAACUUUUGGCCUUCGAUUUUUUUGAAGUAUUUUUUUAGUUGUUGAUAGACCUUAAUUUUAUUUAUUUAUUUAUAUAUGGUGCUGAGAAUCGAACCCAGUGCCUCACACAUGUCAGGCAGGCUCUCUACCACUGAGCCACAAUUCCAGCCCUGGCCUUUGAUUUUUGGGGAUUGGUUUACUUCGCUUAGCAUGAUAUUCUCCAACUCCAUCC
rnacentral:lncRNA from 1 species